rnacentral:rRNA from 1 species
AGAGUUUGAUCCUGGCUCAGGACGAACGCUGGCGGCGUGCCUAACACAUGCAAGUCGAGCGGGGAGACCCUUCGGGGUUUUCUAGCGGCGGACGGGUGAGUAACGCGUGAGCAACCUUUCCUUCACAGGGGGAUAACGCAGCGAAAGCUGUGCUAAUACCGCAUAAGACCACGAAGCCACAUGGUUUUGAGGUCAAAGGAGCAAUCCAGUGAGGGGUGGGCUCGCGUCUGAUUAGCUAGUUGGUGAGGUAACGGCCCACCAAGGCAACGAUCAGUAGCCGACCUGAGAGGGUGAUCGGCCACACUGGGACUGAGACACGGCCCAGACUCCUACGGGAGGCAGCAGUGGGGAAUAUUGGGCAAUGGGCGAAAGCCUGACCCAGCAACGCCGCGUGAGGGAAGAAGGUUUUCGGAUCGUAAACCUCUGUCCUUGGUGAAGAGAAUGACGGUACCCAAGGAGGAAGCCCCGGCUAACUACGUGCCAGCAGCCGCGGUAAUACGUAGGGGGCGAGCGUUGUCCGGAUUUACUGGGCGUAAAGGGUGAGUAGGCGGUUAUUUAAGUCAGAUGUAAAAGGCUAUGGCUCAACUAUAGUAAGCAUUUGAAACUGGAUAACUUGAGUGCAGGAGAGGUAAGUGGAAUUCCUAGUGUAGCGGUGAAAUGCGUAGAUAUUAGGAGGAACACCAGUGGCGAAGGCGACUUACUGGACUGUAACUGACGCUGAGUCACGAAAGCGUGGGUAGCAAACAGGAUUAGAUACCCUGGUAGUCCACGCUGUAAACGAUGAGUGCUAGGUGUUGGCUAGCGAUAGUCAGUGCCGACGUAAACACAAUAAGCACUCCGCCUGGGGAGUACGGUCGCAAGACUGAAACUCAAAGGAAUUGACGGGGACCCGCACAAGCAGCGGAGCAUGUGGUUUAAUUCGAAGCAACGCGAAGAACCUUACCAAGGUUUGACAUCCCCUUGACAGGUGCAGAGAUGUACCCUCUCCUUCGGGAGCAAGGGAGACAGGUGGUGCAUGGUUGUCGUCAGCUCGUGUCGUGAGAUGUUGGGUUAAGUCCCGCAACGAGCGCAACCCUUAUCCUUAGUUGUCAGCAGGUAAGUUGGGCACUCUAAGGAGACUGCCGGUGAUAAACCGGAGGAAGGUGGGGAUGACGUCAAAUCAUCAUGCCCCUUAUAUCUUGGGCUACACACGUGCUACAAUGGUCGGUACAAAGGGGAGCGAAGGAGUGAUCUGGAGCAAAUCCCAAUAAACCGAUCCCAGUUCGGAUUGUAGGCUGAAACUCGCCUACAUGAAGUUGGAGUUGCUAGUAAUCGCGAAUCAGAACGUCGCGGUGAAUGCGUUCCCGGGUCUUGUACACACCGCCCGUCACACCAUGGAAGUUGGUAAUACCCAAAGUCGCUGAGCUAACCGUAAGGGGGCAGGCGCCUAAGGUAGGAUCAAUGACUGGGGUGAAGUCGUAACAAGGUAACC